rnacentral:lncRNA from 1 species
GAGUCGCAUACUUUCAUACAUCUUGGUGCUUCUGGGAUGCAUGACAAACUUUGAGGUAUGGGCCUCGGUCAUGAUGUCCCUUUUUCAACUUACUGUCACCUGAAACACACAUCCUGUCCUGAAAUCUAAGCAACCAAUCGGCAGAUACUCGAAAUUAUGGACUAACUCCCUAUUCUGCAUCUUUCUUGAGGGCUGCUAGGGUGGAAUC